rnacentral:rRNA from 1 species
UACGUAGGGGGCAAGCGUUGUUCGGAAUUACUGGGCGUAAAGGGCUCGUAGGCGGCCAACUAAGUCGGAUGUGAAAUCCCCAGGCUUAACCUGGGAACUGCAUCCGAUACUGGAUGGCUUGAAUCCGGGAGAGGGAUGCAGAAUUCCAGGUGUAGCGGUGAAAUGCGUAGAUAUCUGGAGGAAUACCGGUGGCGAAGGCGGCAUCCUGGACCGGCAUUGACGCUGAUGAGCGAAAGCUAGGGGAGCAAACGGG